rnacentral:lncRNA from 1 species
AGGUUUAUUGCCUGGCUAUAGACAGCCCGAGAAAGAAAGUUAGCUUCCCACCCCCGGCAGCUGCAGUGAUUGGAAAACGAGCCUGAGCCUUUUCACCGAAAAGAAUAUAUCAUUAUCCGUUGGGUUCGCCCUACUUCCCUGUUAAGAAUCACCUGAAGUGCCUAAAAAUCCGCGAGUUUCAGGGCUUUUCCCUGGAAAUAAUGAUUUAGAACGUCCUGGGGGAGGGCCUAGGAGUCUGUGGGUUUAAUAAGCACCUCCAGGAUUUGUGUCUUCGGACAUGAUUCGUGCUUGUGGACAAAACUGACCUCGGAGCUGAGUUCUAGAACCUGCUGCAAGAGUCUGCCUUUGGGAUCCAUGGGAGGGCUCACACCAAGGUCACAGUCUUCCCCAGGCUGCUCCCAGUCCACAGCACAUGGCAGGAGUACUGGAGCUGGGCCACUUCUGCUCAAGUCAAGCAUUGAAAAAUCCUGGAACUUUCAAUAUUUAUGUAGCCAAAGUGUCUCUCUUGCUCACUCACUUGCUUGCUUGUGUACCACUAAUUGAGCAACUACUAUGGGCCAGAUGCUCUGGAAAAUGUUGUUCUGAAGAGGAGUACUAAUCUUCACCAGUGGUGCACCUAGCUGUAUUUUGCACAUUAGGAAACAGACCCAGAGGCACACCUCCCAGAUGCAUCUUCCUCAUGGGGUUGUCGCAGGGUUUAAGAAAAUGAACUCAUAUAAAGGGCUCAGAAUAGUGUCUGGAUCACAGAACUCUGAAGAAUUUAUGUCAGUGAUUCUGAAGUGAGAAUGGAACAUGGAUCCAACCCCUCUAAGGCAGAAGAGAUGUGAGCAGAUUACCUUCUCUGUCCUUAAAAGGAGUGGCCCUGCAUUCCCUGAGAGGGCAUAGCUGGGGCAGUCAUCUGGACCCACCAGACAGGAGCUGAAGCUUGAUAAAAGGUGCCUGGUUCCAGUGACUAUGGAGCAGCCUGCCAGCACUAGAGGAGUCACAGAGAUGUCUAGAUGAGUCACAGAGACAUUUACAUGACAGAAAAAUAAACAACUAUGUUGUUUAAGCCAUUAUUAGUCAGUCUUUCAGU